rnacentral:rRNA from 1 species
GCAGUAGAACGCUGAAGAGAGGAGCUUGCUCUUCUUGGAUGAGUUGCGAACGGGUGAGUAACGCGUAGGUAACCUGCCUUGUAGCGGGGGAUAACUAUUGGAAACGAUAGCUAAUACCGCAUAACAAUGGAUGACACAUGUCAUUUAUUUGAAAGGGGCAAUUGCUCCACUACAAGAUGGACCUGCGUUGUAUUAGCUAGUAGGUGAGGUAAUGGCUCACCUAGGCGACGAUACAUAGCCGACCUGAGAGGGUGAUCGGCCACACUGGGACUGAGACACGGCCCAGACUCCUACGGGAGGCAGCAGUAGGGAAUCUUCGGCAAUGGGGGCAACCCUGACCGAGCAACGCCGCGUGAGUGAAGAAGGUUUUCGGAUCGUAAAGCUCUGUUGUAAGUCAAGAACGGGUGUGAGAGUGGAAAGUUCACACUGUGACGGUAGCUUACCAGAAAGGGACGGCUAACUACGUGCCAGCAGCCGCGGUAAUACGUAGGUCCCGAGCGUUGUCCGGAUUUAUUGGGCGUAAAGCGAGCGCAGGCGGUUUGAUAAGUCUGAAGUUAAAGGCUGUGGCUCAACCAUAGUUCGCUUUGGAAACUGUCAAACUUGAGUGCAGAAGGGGAGAGUGGAAUUCCAUGUGUAGCGGUGAAAUGCGUAGAUAUAUGGAGGAACACCGGUGGCGAAAGCGGCUCUCUGGUCUGUAACUGACGCUGAGGCUCGAAAGCGUGGGGAGCGAACAGGAUUAGAUACCCUGGUAGUCCACGCCGUAAACGAUGAGUGCUAGGUGUUGGAUCCUUUCCGGGAUUCAGUGACGCAGCUAACGCAUUAAGCACUCCGCCUGGGGAGUACGACCGCAAGGUUGAAACUCAAAGGAAUUGACGGGGGCCCGCACAAGCGGUGGAGCAUGUGGUUUAAUUCGAAGCAACGCGAAGAACCUUACCAGGUCUUGACAUCCCGAUGCUAUUUCUAGAGAUAGAAAGUUACUUCGGUACAUCGGUGACAGGUGGUGCAUGGUUGUCGUCAGCUCGUGUCGUGAGAUGUUGGGUUAAGUCCCGCAACGAGCGCAACCCCUAUUGUUAGUUGCCAUCAUUCAGUUGGGCACUCUAGCGAGACUGCCGGUAAUAAACCGGAGGAAGGCGGGGACGACGUCAGAUCAUCAUGCCCCUUAUGACCUGGGCUACACACGUGCUACAAUGGCGUAUACAACGAGUUGCCAACCUGCGAAGGUGAGCUAAUCUCUUAAAGUACGUCUCAGUUCGGACUGCAGUCUGCAACUCGACUGCACGAAGUCGGAAUCGCUAGUAAUCGCGGAUCAGCACGCCGCGGUGAAUACGUUCCCGGGUCUUGUACACACCGCCCGUC